rnacentral:lncRNA from 1 species
GAAGGGGUCUUUGCUGGGUCUGGUUGAGAUGAGGAAGAAGGUCCUCGUGUGGUGUCUCUUGCGUUAGGUCUUGUAGUGUCUGUAUGAAGAAGAAGAAGAUCGAGGCUAGGAUUCCUAAGUUUGUCUUGUGUAUAUGGUUCUACAGUUCUCUUUGUGUUUCUGUUCCUUACGUGUAUUAAGGUGAAAGAAGAACAGUUACUGUUGCUGAUGGG